UAGUGACUUAGGGAGCAAGUUUUGGAGUUAAACAACAAUCAUUCUUUCUUCUCCCCCUUCCCCCCUCUCUCUACUCUCUCUCUUUUCUCUUCAAUCGACCAUAGAAGCACACUCCUAAGCUUCUAAACACAUGGAUCUACCAUCACAAAUCCUAGAUCUAGCCUUCAAUCACCAAGAAUCAAGAGGAGGAUCAAGCUAGAGUUCAAAAACAAAGUGGAUCUAUGAGUUCAUCCUAUUUUUGUACAAGAUCUUGAGAGCACGAGCGACGAAAGGAAGUGAGGUGAAGCAAGAGGUUAAUAAAGAAAGAGUAAGCAGGAGUCCAGGUAUGGCUGUGAUGGAGAUGGAAGGGUGCUGAGUUGGCUUGUUGUGAAGAAGGGAGAGUUGAACUCUAGGUUACAUGUCUUCAUACAUGUAAUCAUUACAAUUCCGUUGCGACGCUUUGAUGAACCUUAUUUAUUAACGUUGUUGUAAACUUGAGAUCUUAUUUGAGACUUAUAUUUCUCCCACUUGUCUUUAGACAGCCUAUUGAAUUUAAUUGGGAGUUGUCUAACUAAUAAACUUGAUAUUAA